GAUGAAGAACGUAGCGAAAUGCGAUAAGUAAUGUGAAUUGCAGAAUUCAGUGAAUCAUCGAAUCUUUGAACGCACAUUGCGCCCGUCAGUAUUCUGGCGGGCAUGCCUGUUCGAGCGUCAUUACGCCCCUCAAGUCCCCUGUGGCCUUGGUGUUGGGGAUCGGCGAGGCUGGUUUUCCAGCACAGCCGUCCCUUAAAUUAAUUGGCGGUCUCGCCGUGGCCCUCCUCUGCGCAGUAGUAAAACACUCGCAACAGGAGCCCGGCGCGGUCCACUGCCGUAAAACCCCCCAACUUUUUAUAGUUGACCUCGAAUCAGGUAGGACUACCCGCUGAACUUAAGCAUAUCAAUAAGCGGAGGA
rnacentral:misc_RNA from 1 species